rnacentral:rRNA from 1 species
GACGAACGCUGGCGGCGUGCUUAACACAUGCAAGUCGAACGAUGAAGCCCAGCUUGCGGGGUGGACUAGUGGCGAACGGGUGAGUAACACGUGAGUAACCUGCCCUUAACUCUGGGAUAAGCCUGGGAAACUGGGGCGAAUACAGGAUAGGAGCGUCCACCGCAUGGUGGGUGGUGGAAAGAUUUAUCGGUUUUGGAUGGACUCGCGGCCUAUCAGCUUGUUGGUGAGGUAAUGGCUCACCAAGGCGACGACGGGUAGCCGGCCUGAGAGGGUGACCGGCCACACUGGGACUGAGACACGGCCCAGACUCCUACGGGAGGCAGCAGUGGGGAAUAUUGCACAAUGGGCGGAAGCCUGAUGCAGCAACGCCGCGUGAGGGAUGACGGCCUUCGGGUUGUAAACCUCUUUCAGUAGGGAAGAAGCGAAAGUGACGGUACCUGCAGAAGAAGCACCGGCUAACUACGUG